GGGGGGCUGUGGUCGUCGCAGGUCAGGAAGCUCGAGUCGCAGGGAGUGCCCACCAAGCAGGCCGAGGCCAUCACCGAGGUGCUCAACGACAGCCUCGACAGCAUGUCCGAGUCGUUCGUCUCCAAGGCCGACAUUCAGAAGAGUGAGAUGCUGGAGGAGUCCAAUAUCGAUCUCCAAGUUCAAGUCGCAAGUGCAGAUCUCGCAUGUAUUCUUCAAAGCUAAGCUGUCUCGUCGUGACCAUUAGGCGUUGUUGGAUUUUUCGCUCUAACUUGAUCUUGGAGCUUGUACGAGUUUGUUUUAGAAUGUUUAGUUUCUUUAGAAUGUUCAGUUUCAACGUUACUGUGACGAAGGUUUAUACAACCACCUUUAGAACUGCUGCUCAUUAUGUGAUGACCCUAUUAGUUUGAGGGAUUGAUGUAUGGGAAAUGGCGAUUGUCGGUUGAGAUCA